UUUGGCAUGUUUCUGGCUAACCAAAAGACUCAGCAAAGACCGGGAAUUUUCAAACUUUCUACUCGGACAAGACCCAGCCUAGCCCCCAGUUCGACCAGCGAUCACAGUUGAGCCCCAGGACCAAGGCGUUGAGGUGGCGUGAAUUCGGCGUGCCCUGUCUGCAAUCCUGCCUUUCAGUAAGCCCCAGGACCGAGGCGUUGAGGUGGCAUCACAUUCGGCGUCCCCUGUCUGCAAUCCUGCCUAGUACAAGACAUUCGCUAUCAGCACUGGUUCUGUUGGAGAUGGAUUGAAACUGACGUUUCUUGUUGUCGAUCUGGAGGUGCGA